GACGAACGCUGGCGGCGUGCCUAAUACAUGCAAGUUGAGCGCUGAAGGUUGGUACUUGUACCAACUGGAUGAGCAGCGAACGGGUGAGUAACGCGUGGGGAAUCUGCCUUUGAGCGGGGGACAACAUUUGGAAACGAAUGCUAAUACCGCAUAAAAACUUUAAACACAAGUUUUAAGUUUGAAAGAUGCAAUUGCAUCACUCAAAGAUGAUCCCGCGUUGUAUUAGCUAGUUGGUGAGGUAAAGGCUCACCAAGGCGAUGAUACAUAGCCGACCUGAGAGGGUGAUCGGCCCCAUUGGGACGGAGAAACGGCCCAAACUCCUACGGGAGGCAGCAGUAGGGAAUUUUCGGCAAUGGACGAAAGUCUGACCGAGCACCGCCGCGGGAGUGAAGAAGGUUUUCGGAUCGUAAAACUCUGUUGGUAGAGAAGAACGUGGGUGAGAGUGGAAAGCUCAUCAAGUGACGGUAACUACCCAGAAAGGAACGGCUACUUACGU
rnacentral:rRNA from 1 species